AGCAGCCGCGGUAAUUCCAGCUCCAAUAGCGUAUAUUAAAGUUGUUGCAGUUAAAAAGCUCGUAGUUGAAUUUCGGGAUUGACGUGAUGGUCGUGCCUUAAGGGGUAUGAACUGUUGCUGUUGAUUUCUCACCUUCUGGAGAAACUUGAUGUCCUUAAUUGGGUGUCUUGCGGAUCCAGGACCUUUACCUUGAAAAAAUUAGAGUGUUUAAAGCAGGCAUUUUGCUCGAAUACAUUAGCAUGGAAUAAUAGAAUAGGACGGCAUGGUUCUAUUUUGUUGGUUUCUAGGAUCACCGUAAUGAUUAAUAGGGAUAGUUGGGGGCAUUAGUAUUCAAUUGUCAGAGGUGAAAUUCUUGGAUUUAUUGAAGACUAACUACUGCGAAAGCAUUUGCCAAGGAUGUUUUCAUUAAUCAAGAACGAAAGUUAGGGGAUCGAAGACGAUCAGAUACCGUCGUAGUCUUAACCAUAAACUAUGCCGACUAGGAAUCAGACGAUGUUAAUUUUUAAUGACUCGUUUGGUA
rnacentral:rRNA from 1 species